UACGUAGGGGGCAAGCGUUGUCCGGAUUUAUUGGGCGUAAAGAGCGUGUAGGCGGCCAUACAGGUCAGCUGUGAAAACUCGAGGCUCAACCUCGAGACGUCGGUUGAAACCGUAUGGCUAGAGUCCGGAAGAGGAGAGUGGAAUUCCCGGUGUAGCGGUGAAAUGCGCAGAUAUCGGGAAGAACACCCGUGGCGAAGGCGGCUCUCUGGGACGGUACUGACGCUCAUGCACGACAGCGUGGGGAUCAAACAGG
rnacentral:rRNA from 1 species